CUCUCAACCCAUGAAAGCCUCUAAAAAUCAAUGAAAAAUUCGUGAAAUAUUUGCUAAGUUUUCCUUUUGUGUCCCAGCUCUGUGUCAGGCACUUGACUGACUAGCAAACCUCUCAGAGUAACACAAAUAGCUGACCCAUUAAGACACAGACACGGCAGACUGCGGAAAUAUGGAGUGAAACAAUGCAAACGCAGACAGGGGACGGGGCACCUCAGCAGGAGAAUCUUCUGAAGACGCUGAUGAGAGAGCAAAGACAUGCAGCUCCUGGACAACCACUGAUAGCUGUAGGAGCCUUGAUCAGCAUGGGUCCCUAACCUCAGGAACACGGCAGAACACCUCAGCAAACUGAAACCCAUGGUGGGGGGUUCCCAAGCAACCAAAAGAUGAAGGCGAAAUGAGAAGGAAAUCAAGGUCACAGUGGAGGAAGGGGGCGGGCUAUGUCCCAAACUGCGGGUCUGUCUAACAUCAGCUCCCUUUUUAAGAGAAUCUGAUACUUGUAUUUUUUUCUUAGGUAAGACCCCGAGGGGAGAGCCUGCUCAGCUUGAGUCCAGGCCAGGGCACCAUUGCUGAAGGGUCUUCUGAGUGAGCUCAGCAGCUGCGAGAGAAACAGGUCCUCUCAGACCCGUCCCCAGCCAGUGUGAGCGCCUGCACUCUUCCCAAGUGAACAGAGGACCUGGACAAGAACUUUCUAAUUUUAAAGAAAAUGGUGGGAAUGGAGCUUAAUUUCCAAAGCAUUCAAUUCCCAGUAUGCCCAACUCUCAGGGCAAGCCUAAUGGGAUGAAGAAUCAGAAAGGCUCCACCAGAGAGAUGCAAAGGGCCCUUUCUAAGGGGACCGUCAACACGGAUGUACACAACUGAGAGUUAAAUGCAAGUUUCUGAAUCCUGUUCAGAAGAAAUUCAUCCAAAAAGCCAUGUGAGCGCCUUACAGCACGC
rnacentral:lncRNA from 1 species